rnacentral:misc_RNA from 1 species
CAGUCAUGCUGGGUUAGGGCAU